rnacentral:rRNA from 1 species
GCAGCAGGCCUAAUACAUGCAAGUCGAACGGUGAUAGCAAUAUCAUAGUGGCGCACGGGUGCGUAACACGUAUGCAACCUACCUUAUACUGAGGGAUAGCCUUUCGAAAGGGAGAUUAAUACCUCAUAACACAUUGAACUGGCAUCAGUUUAUUGUUAAAGAUUUAUUGGUAUAAGAUGGGCAUGCGUCCAAUUAGUUAGUUGGCGAGGUAACGGCUCACCAAGACGAUGAUUGGUAGGGGAACUGAGAGGUUAAUCCCCCACACUGGCACUGAGAUACGGGCCAGACUCCUACGGGAGGCAGCAGUAGGGAAUAUUGGGCAAUGGAGGCAACUCUGACCCAGCCAUGCCGCGUGCAGGAAGAAGGCGUUAUGCGUUGUAAACUGCUUUUAUAUAGGAAGAAAUAGACCUUGCGAGGUAAGUUGACGGUACUAUAUGAAUAAGCACCGGCUAACUCCGUGCCAGCAGCCGCGGUAAUACGGAGGGUGCAAGCGUUGUCCGGAUUUAUUGGGUUUAAAGGGUGCGUAGGCGGUUUAUUAAGUCAGUGGUGAAAGACGGUCGCUCAACGAUUGCAGUGCCAUUGAUACUGGUAGACUUGAGUGGGAUUGAGGUAGCUGGAAUGGAUAGUGUAGCGGU